UGAGGAAACUGGAGCCCAAGGUGGGAA
rnacentral:piRNA from 1 species